rnacentral:tRNA from 1 species
AAAAAGAUAAGCUAAUUAAGCUACUGGGUUCAUACCCCAUUUAUGACAAACCAUGUCUCUUUUUA